CCCCGGCACAAACACCUUCAAGCACCGAGUUCCACCCGCAGUGAGUCACAAACCCGCCAACUGACUCAUGAUUCAGUACCUCCACUUGCGGCGCCCACGAUUCAACCACGAGCCCCCUAUCUUUUGUUCUAUCCAAGAACCCUUCAGGUAAAAGAGACUCCAAUGAGCUUCGGUUCUCGACGCUGUCGGGAGCUGGAGCUCUCACGACCCAAAGAAACUUAACACCACUUCUCUCCAACCCAAUGGCCAUUUCUUUUAACUGCUUACAAGAGAACGAUCCCAAGCUUCCGAAACAAAGAAACAGGACGCUUCGACUCGGUUUCGAGUCAAGCCAGCUCAAGCAUUCAUGUCGAUCACGUCCUCGAUUCUCUCCAUUUCCUCGACCAACCACGGGCCCUAUGCAAUAUAAAGGCGGCGACGUAUCCCCUGGAGUGCAUUGUCCUUCUAGCAUCGCUUUGAUAGCUCUCUCUUCGAGCAAUUCAAAUGUGUUUACAAUAACCCCCGCAGAUUUUGCCAUCUGGAUGCCGGUGUCGACUAAGCCCUUGUAUACUUUACCCUCACGAUCAUGCAUGGGUAACGCCAUGUCUCUUGCUGGAAAAGGCGGAAAUCCGGGGAAAUUUAAAAGCGCGCUGCCGAGUUCUCUGAAGCUCUUUGUGGUGUUUUUAUGAAGAGUUGGUAAGUAGAGGUUAGCAGCGAGUACGCUUCCUGCGGUGGUGAAGUAAUAGUAAGUAGGGAUACUGAGAGUACUCGAGGAAACUUGAAACGCGGGGUUGCAAAGGAAAUCGAUAACAAAGGCUUUCAGGUUUGAGCGUUUGGAAAUUGUUAUUAGGGUUUCGUGGAGAUUAGGGUUGUUGAGCUCGCCAAGCUCGUACACUAAGGCUGGGAAGUCAGCUGGUGAACGUAAAGUGUCGGGUAGGCCGGAAACCGGAGGAGGGAGUUGGUGGAAGGUAACGGAGGGAGCUGUGGCGGAGACGGAGGCGAUGUAAUCAUCGGUACCGGCGCUUGAUACGAACGGGGCGGUGGGGAUUAUGAUGUCAAUGGAGAAGCAAGGGUGGUACGUGAGUAUCAAUUUUCCUAAUUCAACCAUGGAGUUUAAGUGACCUCUUCCUGGAGAAGUAUAAAAGACAAUCGUAUCUUUCAUUUUUUUUAAUCUUUAAUUUUACAAGUUAAAAUAUUUUUAAAAAAAACAGUAGAAAUGGUGAGAAAUUAUAGUGAGAGAGAAUGAGAGUGUGAUAAAGGGCUCCUUUGUGUUUGCUAAUCGCAAUGCAAUUAUGCAUCGAAGCCCACGACGAAAUACUGGAAGCCUGUAGGUUACAGGGUUAAAUGGGCAAAGAAUUGUUGGUUGAAGUAAAGGGAGCUUAAAGAAACUUUCACAAGUGGAGGAGGAUUUUGGGGAAAACGAUUCAGUCUCUUCUACUCGGCUUCAAUGCCUUGCGUAAGUGUAGCAUGUGGGCUGAAUUAUUUAUCAAAACGAGAAGGACUUGCGAGUUGAGGUCACUUAGUUGCCAGGUUGUGAACCCAUCAGACAAUCACAGUAUGCUGACAUAAUUGACCAACCUGUUUUCUAGCCACAUAGUUCAACUACCCACUAUGACUUUUCAAAGCAAAUGACGUGGCCUAUGUUUACACCGCUUGAUUUACCUGUCCCCUACCCCGCUCUGUUUUCUCCUAAUCUUUAACUAGGCUCCACCGUAUUAAAAAUAAAAAUAAAAAACAAAAACUAUCCCUUAAUUCUUCUAGAUUACCAGAGGGAAGUGGUGGAAAGUGACGGAAGGAGUGGUGGCGGAGACGGAGGCGAUGCAACCGUGGAUACAGGAGCUUGUUUCGAAUGGGGCGGUGGUGCGGAUUAUGGUAGCAAGGGUGGUAAUUAAGUAUCAAUUUUCCUAAUCCUACGAUGAAAUUUAAGUGACAUUUUUCUUGGAGAAGGAUACAAAAUAAAGUAUUCUUUCAUUUCUUUACCUAUAAUUUAAAAUUAUUAAAUGCUAAAAAAAAGGUCGGAGCUUAUAGAAAAAAGUUUAGAAUAUUAAUAUAUUAGUUUUAUUGGUUUCUUUAUGAUAUAUUUACCGGUAAUUAUUUUUAAAGAUACAACGUUAUCAAAUUAGCUUUACAAAUAAUUCAUGUGACAAUUUAAUUUAAAUUUGUGAUCGUAUGUACAAUAAAAUUAAAUUUAUAGAGAGAAAACUCCUUAAAUUUUUAUCCUUUUAGAAGUAAGAAUAAUAUAUUAGGCAUGUGAACCUUCCAUUGCGAUUAGGCCAAUCAAAAUUUGAACAUAUGAAGUCUGCAACAGUCACUUCAAUUGCGAUUAGGCCAAUCAAAAUAUGAACAUAUGAAGUCUACAACAGUCACUUCCAUUGCGAUUAAGCCAAUCUUGUAGCUAUAUUCGUGGCAUGUUAAUGCUGACCAAUUUUAAUUUAAAUUAUUGGCUCGGCGAGUACUGAAGUACAAUUAAUCUGUCCGCGAAAUCGGAAUAAAAUAUUUGUGUCCCAAUUUACUGGCACAUUACAUGUCAAUUGAUUAAUGAUAGCAUAAAGAGGUGUGCUAGCGACAGUCGGUCGCCCUUGUGGGCCACUAACUCAGUCGCUCUUUUAUUUUAUGGGCACGUGUUUGAUAUUUUGGUUCUGUGUAAUUUUAAAUUAAUGUUAAUAUCUUUAAGUUUUGUUUUAAUAUUAUUAUUUUUAUGUAUAACGAAUUUACCACAAUAUCCUUAUCAUUUCUCCCUCUCGCCAGGCUUGUUCUCCCUGCCACUGCAGCUCCUUCUCUGCUUCUUCAAUUUCUUUUCUCUCUCUACUGGAAGCUUGGAAAAAAGAGAGAAAAGGGAAAAAAAAAAAUUUGAAGUCAAGUCUCCUUUUUAGCCAAAAUAAAAUUUUAAAAAAUAUUUUACUUUAAAAAAUAAAUAACAAAAAUUAUCCUAGCCAUGUAGAUCCGAUUACGCACCUAAAAUAAAAUAUCAUAUCAAAUCUGAAGUAGGAGAAGUGGAGAGACGGUCAUCUUUCAAGCAACGAUAAUAUUUUGUUAUCAUUUCUUUUUUUAGGAGACUUUGUUUUUUUAAAUCUUUUUUCCCCUUGUCUUUUUUUUUUUUUCCCUUCCAAUCUUUCGUUAAAGGAGAAAAGAAGGAAAAGAAAUUGACGAAGAAGAGAACAAUAAGAAGAGAAAGCUUGGCAAGGAGGAGAAAGGAUAAGGAUGUUUUGGUAAUUUCACUAUACAUAUAUAUAAUAAUAUUAAAAUAAAACUAAAAGAUAUUAAUAUUUUAACAUUUAUUUAAAACUAUACAGAACCCAAAAUAUCAAACACGUGUCAGCAAAUGAAGUUAGCGGCUGAUGGGCGAUUGUCGCUAACACUCCUCUACUAUUAAAAAGCCAGCUAUUAUUAAACCCAUCACAUGUCAUUUCUUUAAAAUGUUGUAUUCAAGAAGCAUAUGAAGUCUCCUUCAAUUUUUUUAAAACUUCUAACUAUAUUUCAAUGGAAUUCUCACUAAACCUGCUUAACAAUUAACUAAAAUAUGUAGCUGGCAAAUUAAUUUCAACUUUUGCUUACGAGGAAAUACUACUAAUCAAGUUUUUUACAAUGAGGAUCAAAAUUCUCAAUUAAAAUAGGCGACGUUUUCUCGUAUUCUAUAAUUUCUCUUAAGCAUAUGGUUAAAUUAUUAUUUGGCAGUCGUAUGUAAAUGAAAGAAAUUCACACUUCUUUGUAAUUAAAAUUAUUCUCAACAUUAUUUUGCUCUUCCAUAAAUUCAAUAGGAGUCACUUUAUAUGUGUUCUAAGAUUAAUAAAAAAUAAAUAAAGAUAUCAAUUCAGGGUUAAAAAAAAUGUAACGGUGAGUGUAAAGAUGGGCUUAAAGAAUACAAAUAUUUUAAUAAUUUAAUUUUUUUUUUCCAAGUGUGGAUUUAGUGAGUGGGUUUGUGUGUUCAAAUGCAUAUUAUUAUGUAAUAAAAAAAUACAAAUAAUUAUUACGAAGUGUUUGUACUAUGGACUUUUCGGAUAAGCCAAUUAACGACUAUUGCUAAAAGCCCCUCACUGUAUUCAUGCAAGUGAUCCAAGGCCGUAUCGUAGCUCAAGCACCAAACAGCUUAAUUUAUGUUUGGGCCGGGUCGGAUUAUGGACUUUGGACUGAAUUUCUUUUUGGUACUUUUUGAGAAAAAUAACAAGAAGACACUAAAAUACAGCAGUCACAAACUCUCAACUAUUGUAUACAAAUAGAUAACAUAAUAAAAAUAAAUGAUAUGGAUGGUACGGUGUUUUAUUUAAUUAAAUCCAUGCUAUUUAUACCACGUGAGUUGUACAAUAAAUUUGUAGUUAGCCACAUCUAGUUCUCGUAAUUGUGCCCUUCAUAGAUUACCUUAUCUAAGCCCUUAGGCAAUCGUAUGGCCGAGAUUACCUUAGUAUUGACUAUAAGACAAAAGUUGGUGACUUAAAUUUUGCAUUCCUCUACUAACGUGACAUGACUUUUGUUUUGUUGCCUUAUUCAUUUAUUUCUUUACUUUUGUUUUAUUACCUUAUUUAUUUAAUUCUCUACUUUUUCGUCCUUUUUGUCUUUUCUCUAUGAUCAAUGCAAAAUUUUAACAAUUUUUAAGCCCAUUCAACUCGGCAUCAUUCAUGUUUAGCUAAGCAUUCUUUGGUCAGCUCAAGGUCAUAUUAUCCCCCGUUUAAGUUUCCAACACAGAUCAUAUCUUCUCGAUAUUGGAAACUAAGCGACUAGUGUUCGGUUUACGAAUAUUUUUCUAUUUUUUUUAAUAAUUAAUUUCUAACACUCGUAAUAACUUCCUGAUAUUAAAAACUAAGGGAUUGAUGUUGAGAUUAGUUUUUUUUUUUUGACCCAAUGCCGAGAAAUACAAUUGACCCUAACUUGUUAGGAAUCAAAUGCUAUUGAACUGACCUCAUGAGUACAACCAAAAACCUAUGUUGACAACCUGAUUUUAUAAGUACAACUUCGAAUUAAUGUGGACGACCUUAUUUAUAAAUACAACUCUAGGUCUAUGCGAGCGACAUAAAAAUCCACCAAUAUGAUUUGGAAAUGAAGUAAUUCAACCUCGAAACUUGUUUGUCCAACCUGAGGAUGUGCUAGCUCGACACGAAAUAUUAUUUGUCAAGACCACGAGGCCUAUAUUUUGGGGAAAUUACAAACCACAACUUGUCAAACCGUCUUCAACUGACGACUAGCUAUAACUGCUCAAGAGAAUGGGAUAAAACUGAUGGAGUAACCAUCCACAACUGAGAGUCUAUUUUAAGUGGAAAAGAGCAUCAAAGGAAAUGAUUAGAAAAAUUAACUAAAAAGCUCUAUAAAUGACUAGUCUUAAAACCUUCUUAUUUUUUAUGAGAUUAACAACACAACCACCCAAGAAUUCUUUGAUUUUAACUCAUUUCCAAUUCCUCUUUUUCAUUUUCUUUUUUCUCAUAUACAAAACAUCUUACUUAAGCAUCAAAGGAUUCUUGUCGAAACCCCCACCAGUGUGUAUUAACCGUGUUCUAUGGUUAGUAGGUAUAAGAAGUUAUGGUUGAGCUGUAGUUUGAGCUUGGAUUCGUGUUGUUAUUCCCUAGACAAAUAAAUUCAAAUGUUAAGGCAGUUUUUCUGCAUCACCACCCUCCUUAAAAGACAUUCAUUAAAUAAUAAUCCUUUGGUAAUUAGCCCAUGAGCGUACUAAGAAUAGUAAAGGAAAUCUACGGAAUGACAUACAAUUGUUAAUAUUCCAAAUUAAAGAAAAACAUCAUCGUUUAUUUUUAAAAGAACGAGAGAGAAUCACAGGUGCUAAUUUUUACUCGAAUAAUUUUAUACAUAUACAUUUACUCAAAAAGUUAGCAAAGGAAAAAAAAUGCAUGAACUUAUUAAAAACAAAAAAUAUUGAAUUACUAAACAGAAAUUUUAUGCAACUUUUGUGAAAACUUCAUUAUUGUUUUGACUGUCCCAACGGAGCCAUGCGUCCUCUUUUAAAUGACUCAACCAAAUUGUCCAAUGCAACACGAGAUGACCCACCAUCCCUCAUCGCUGCUGCAGCUGCUUCUUUCAUUGCCACCGCACGUUCUUUAACAGCUCUACCUUUCUCCGAGUCCAUCAACUCACUAACUCGCUGCUCCAACUCGGCUGAGCUCACCAAUCCGUCUCCUUCUUCUGACCGAGUCACCGCCAAACCCACCUUCAUUUCCUCCACCACGACCGCUCUAAUCAUCUUUUGCUCGGCAUACAGAGGCCAAGCCAACAUUGGCACCCCGGCACAAACACCUUCAAGCACCGAGUUCCACCCGCAGUGAGUCACAAACCCGCCAACUGACUCAUGAUUCAGUACCUCCACUUGCGGCGCCCACGAUUCAACCACGAGCCCCCUAUCUUUUGUUCUAUCCAAGAACCCUUCAGGUAAAAGAGACUCCAAUGAGCUUCGGUUCUCGACGCUGUCGGGAGCUGGAGCUCUCACGACCCAAAGAAACUUAACACCACUUCUCUCCAACCCAAUGGCCAUUUCUUUUAACUGCUUACAAGAGAACGAUCCCAAGCUUCCGAAACAAAGAAACAGGACGCUUCGACUCGGUUUCGAGUCAAGCCAGCUCAAGCAUUCAUGUCGAUCACGUCCUCGAUUCUCUCCAUUUCCUCGACCAACCACGGGCCCUAUGCAAUAUAAAGGCGGCAACGUCUCCCCUGGAAUGCAUUGUCCUUCUAGCAUCGCUUUGAUAGCUCUCUCUUGGAGCAAUUCAAAUGUGUUUACAAUAAUCCCCGCAGAUUUUGCCAUCUGGAUGCCGGUGUCGACUAAGCCCUUGUAUACUUUACCCUCACGAUCAUGCAUGGGUAACGCCAUGUCUCUUGCUGGAAAAGGCGGAAAUCCGGGGAAAUUUAAAAGCGCGCUGCCGAGUUCUCUGAAGCUCUUUGUGGUGUUUUUAUGAAGAGUUGGUAAGUAGAGGUUAGCAGCGAGUACGCUUCCUGCGGUGGUGAAGUAAUAGUAAGUAGGGAUACUGAGAGUACUCGAGGAAACUUGAAACGCGGGGUUGCAAAGGAAAUCGAUAACAAAGGCUUUCAGGUUUGAGCGUUUGGAAAUUGUUAUUAGGGUUUCGUGGAGAUUAGGGUUGUUGAGCUCGCCAAGCUCGUACACUAAGGCUGGGAAGUCAGCUGGUGAACGUAAAGUGUCGGGUAUGCGGGAAACCGGAGGAGGGAGCUGGUGGAAGGUAACGGAGGGAGCUGUGGCGGAGACGGAGGCGAUGUAAUCAUCGGUACCGGCGCUUGUUACGAACGGGGCGGUGGGGAUUAUGAUGUCGAUGGAGAAGCAAGGGUGGUACGUGAGUAUCAAUUUUCCUAAUUCUACCAUGGAAUUUAAGUGACCUCUUCCUGGAGAAGUAUAAAGGACAAUCGUAUCUUUCAUUUUUUUUAAUCUUUAAUUUUACAAGUUAAAAUAAAAAAAACAGUAGAAAUGGUGAGAGAUUACAGUGAAAGAGAAUGAGAGUGAUAAAGGGCUCCUCUGUGUUUGCAAACCGCAAUACACUUUUAUGCAUCGACACCCACGACGAAAAAGUGGAAGCUUGUAGGCUACAGGUUUAAAAGGGCAAAGAAUUGUUGGUUGAGAGAAUUUGGUUGAAGUAAAGGGAGCUUAAAGAUACUUUCACAAGUGGAGGAGGAUUUUGGGGAAAACUAUGUGGGUUUGAUGGUUUCUUCUACUUGGCUUUAAUGCCUUUUUGUAACUUUUGGGCUGAAUUAUUUAUAGAAACCAGAAGGACUUGCGUGUUGGGCUCUGUUAUCACUUAUUUGACAGUUUGCUAACAUAAUUGACCUAACAUAUAUUUUAGCCCGCAUAGUACAACCUACCCAAUUGAUUUUUCAAAGCAGAUGACUUGGCCCAUGUUUACGCCGCUUGAUUUAACUAUCCCUUAACUCUUCUAGAUUACUAGAGGGCACUGUUGGAAAGUGACGGAGAGAGUGGUGGCGAAGACGGAGGCGAUGCAACCGUGGAUACUGGAGCUUGUCUCGAAUGGAGCGGUGCUAAUCAAGUGAGUAUCAAUUUUCCUAAUUUUACAAUGAAAUUUAAGUGACAUCUUCUUGGAGAAGGAUGCCUAUAAUUUAAAAUUAUUGGAUGCUAAAAAAAAAAAUCAUAGCUCAUGGAAUAAAGUUUAGAAUAAAUUAGUUUUAUUAAUUUUAAGUAAUUAUUUUAAAAGAUACAAUAUUAUCAAACUAGUCCUCCAUAUGAUUCAUCUGUCAAUUUAGUUUAGGUUUAUAAUCGUAUAUGCAAUAAAGUAAAUUUAUGCAAAGAAACAUCCUUAAACUUUUAUCCUUUUGGGGGUAAGAAAAAUAUAUUAGGUAUGUGAACAUUAAUUGAUUGUAAGUUAUUAAUUUAUAAAGCAUUCCUAUAAUGUCAUGUUCAAAACAGUCAAACAGAUCAAAAUGAAUUAUAAUUCAUUGCGAUUAAGCCAAUCUUGUAGCAAUAUUUGUGGCAUGUUAAUGCUGAUCAAUCUUAAUUUAUAUCAUUGGCUCGUCGAAUAUUGAAGUACAAUUAAUAUGUCUGUGAAAUUGGAAUAAAAUAUUUGUAUCCCAAGUUUACUAGCACAUGAAAUGUCAUUCCCAUUGGGUUAUGAAAUUAUUUGAUUUGCUUAAUGAUAGUAUAAAAAGUCAAUUAUUAUCAAACACAUGACAUAUCAUUUCUCUAAAAUGUUAUAUUCAAGAAGUAUAUGAAGUUUCCUUCAAUUUUUUAAAAAUUUCUAACUAUAUUUUAAUAGAACUCUCAUUAAACCCACUUAACAAUUAACUCAAAUUUCUAGGUGGCAACUUAACUCCAACUUUUGCUAAUGAGAAACAACUACUAAAUUAAGUUUUUUUACAAUAUGGAUCAAAGCUCUCAAGUAAAAUAGGCGACAUUCUCUAAUAUUCUGCAAUUUCUUUAAGCACAUGGUUAAACUAUGUAUUUGGCAUUCGUAUGUAAAUGAAAGAAAAUCACAAUUCUUUGUAAUUAAAAUUAUUCUCAACAUUAUUCUACUCCUUCAUAAAUUCAAUAGGAGUCACUUUAUAUGUGCUCUAAGAUUAAUAAAAAAAAUAAAGAUAUCAAUUCAGGGUUUAAGAAAAACAUAACAAUCAGUGUAAAGAUGGGUUCAAAGAGUAAAACUAAUUUAAUAAUUAAAUAUUUUUUCCAAAUGUGGAUUUUAGUGAGUAGCUUUGUGUGUUCAAAUACAAAUUAUUAUUACGAAGUGUUUAUACUAUGACUUGAAUAUUUUGAAUUUUCUUUUUAGCAAGGAGCAAAAAUAUAGAAAUUGCUCGGUGGAUGAAAGAAACCUAACGGUUUUCUGAUUGAAGAUCGGAUGUGAUGAGUAAAUCUAACGGUAUUUUUCAUUGAAGAUCGGAUAUGGAAUUGUAGAUGUGGAAUGACAUUUUCGCUUGUGGAACGGUAGUUGUGCUGAUGCUUGUAGAUCCUUGUCCUCAAGCAUCAACAUCAUCUGAUAAAUCGAUCACAAAGACUGAACUUUUCGAAUAAGCCAAUCGGCAACUAUUGCUAAAAACCCCUCACGAAAAACUAAGCACGCACCUACUUUCACUCAUGCAAGUGAUCCAAGGCCGAAUUGUAGCUCAAGCCCAAACAGGUUAAUUUAUGUUUGGGCCCGAUCGUAUUAUGGACUUUGGACUGAAUUUCUUCUUGGUACUUUUUGAGAAAAAUAACAACAAUACAGUAAAGAGUGGGACUACUGGCACCCCAAUAAAUUUCUCAUAACACCUCUUUUCUUAACUCUAUUAAAAUAUUUUAAAAAUUAUAAAAUUCUUUUAACACCUCCAUUAAUAAUAAAAAUACCCUUAAAUAAAAUUUAUUGUGUAAACUCUAUUUUUUAUUUUUUAUUAUUAAAACACAUUUCAACAAUCAGAUCUCUUCCAUUUAAAAGAAAAAGACAAUGAGUUUUUAUUCUCUCCAUUAUAGCCAUCGGUCUCACCCGAAAAUUAGAGAAAAAGACAAUAUUUUUUUAUUUAUAAAAUGAACAAAAAAUAUUUGACUUUUGAGUGAGACUUAAUUAGAAAUUAUCCUUUUAUAUAAUUUGAAUAGAGGUUAAAAUUGUAAAACAAUUAAAGAAAUUUUAAGAGCUGUUUAGAAGGGUGCCAACAGUCUCACUCUACAGUAAAAUACAGAAGUCACAAACUCUCAAUAGCAACAAUUUUAUACAAAUUGAUAACAUAAUAAAAAUAAAUCACAUGCAUCAUUCAUACGGUGUUCGCGUCAGUUGUACAACAAAUUUGUAAUUAGCCACAUUUAGUUUUCGUAAUUGCGCCCUUCACAGAAUGGUUUAAUUAUCACAUUAUCUCUCCGAUCCGAAUAAAUCAAUGCGGAAUCAUUAUAAAUUAAUGUAAUCUUCAUGGAAUUCUGGUUUAUUAUCAAAGGCAGCAAUUUGAGCUUCGAAAAGAAGCUUGCUAGAGAGAGUUUGCUAGAGAGAGCCGAUCGUCUUGUUUUGUUGUUCUAUUUGAAAGCUGCUGAGGGAACAAGAAACAGACGGCGAGCUGCUUAAGUAAAUUACCGAGUGAAGUCAGCACCUCGCAAUAUGAGACUAGACAAGCCAACAAUAAGUUCACGUGGUGGAUUUGGUGCAGCGCCCGUGAUCAUUCACUGGUUCUGGAUAGCAGACAAAUCACAGCAUUUUUAGCACCCGACAAAACCCCAUUGAUGAUGAAAGACAGCGAUAGCCCUUGGAUUCGUCACUCACUCUGUGCAUCAAUUAUCUUAAUUAUAAUAUGGAUAGGGACCCGUGACACAUUGUGAGAAGCUUGUGGGUCACCAAUUAUAAGCAAUGUAUCUUUCUCAUCCCACCCAUUUUUCUUUUUUUUUAAAAGUACAAUGAUUAAUUUUAGCCCAUCAAAUUAUUGUGUCAAGUCGAUGAAGACGAACGAGGAAUAUACAUAUAUGUAUAUAUAUUUUCUAGAUUUUUGAUAAAAAUGCGAACGUCCGUACUUAAAAAAAAUUUCAUUAAUUAAUAAUCUCAAAAACAGGAAGAGCAUACAUGAUUAUUCAUCUUUUUACUGUAAUUUCCAGCAUUUCGAUCACUUCUUCUCUUUUGACAGCAGAGAAGGAUUUCUGUUUAGAAUUAUAAUGAUACACGUACACUCACGUUACUUACAAAACAAAAUGGAAACAAUUAUACAUUUUACAAAACGUAGUAGGAAAAUUCCCGUUAGGUUGAAGCAUAUAUUGUAUUGACAAUAUACUGGACGAACAAAUUUAAUUACAAAACUGUCAAUCAAACGAGCUUUACUGUCAUAUUUCAAAUUAUUGAUUUCAUCCAUGGAAUGAAACCCAACAAAGAAAUAUAUGACGCAGAAAAUUGACUUCGGUUCUUGAGAAUUUACGCCUAUUUCUUAGAUUUUGAAACCCUCCUGAUCAAAACAACGAAACAAAGCAGACGAUAUAAUACAAAGAAGCCAAUCAAGAAGUAAAUAUUUGUCCAUCUCUGCCUCUCAUGUAGCCCUCUAUUUUGCAACACAUCACCUCCAGUCACCAUGCACGUUGUGUUCUCUUGGUACCAUAGUAGACACUUGGACGCAAGGCAGGAAUACUCAUUGAUAAGAAGCGCGUCGAGGGCGUACUUGUACAUUGAAAAGAAGUGCAUGAAUAGCCAAUACUUGGGCAUGCUGUCCUUUUUGAUGAAGUAGCCAGAGAAGAGAAAAAACGCACCAAGAAAUAUUGUCACGAGUGAAGUUCCCGCAAUGUAAUUUGGUGCAAGAGAGCUCAGGAAAAGCACAAAUGAAUUAGCCAUCAGGAUUAUGACCCAUAUGACCAAAACAAAGUAAGCAAAGGCUUGCCAUGAAGCACAAAGCCCCACCAAGAAGUAAACUGAGACUGAGUAAAUGAUUGCAACGGCAAGCAAGUAUGGCAAGAACACAAGGGUAUUCGCUAUGAGGUAACUCGAAAGGCGAUAGACUCCACUUGAAGUCUCUCUCAAUAGAAUUGGCCUUUCAUUGAUAAAGAUUGGGAGAGUUUCAGUUGUCGAGGAGAGGAGAAAAGUGAGAGUGAAGGCAAAGAGACCAAACCUGUUUUCAAUUCCUUGCUUGUCAUACCCAACAUUGAUAAAAAUAGUGCCUAAAACAAGACCUACAAUGAGAGCUUCCAAUGUGUUUGUCAAAAGCAGCUGCCUUGUUCUGUAAAUGAUCUUCCAAAACCUGUUGUACAAAGUGCAAACUUCUUGGAGCCUUGAGCUUCUAUAUAUUGUCGCCGUAUGGUUCACUUCGUUAUCGCAAGGAGAAGUUGCAGAACCAUCGUCGUCAUCACCACUAGGUGGUGUGUUCAUAAGAGGCUUAGUAUCAUCAUGAAGCUGGCUUAGUAUUUCCAUUGUGUAUUCAAGGGCAUUGAGCUGAGGAGGGACAGAGAAGCCACUGGAGAGCAAAAACGUUUCAAGUGAAGCAAGUGUGCCAUGAUGAACAACAGACCCUUUUGAUAGCAGAAGGAUUCUAUCAAUGGUGGAGAGGAUUUUGAAGCUGGGUUGAUGGAUGGAUAAGAUCACAGUGCGGUGACGCGAGGCAGAGAUGGAUUUGAGGGUCUGCAUAACGUUGAAAGCAGAGCGACUGUCGAGGCCCGAAGUGGGUUCGUCGAGAAGCAACACGGCAGGGUCGUGAAGGAGACUUAAGCCUAUGGAGACACGUCUACGCUCACCGCCUGAUAGAUUAUGAGCGAGCCUUGUGCUGGCCAAGUGUGCUAGCCUGAGCUCAGUGAGAAGGACCGUGAUAAUUGUGUCUAUUUGGGAUGUUUUGGGGACCAAAAGGCGAGCUGAGAAGAGAAAAGUUUCGUAGACAGUGAGAGAAGGGAUGCAUGCAUCAUGCUGAGGGACAUAAGCUGAGAGCUUGCGGAAUGAUGAAGGCUUGAUGGGGGAUGAAUUGAGGAGGAUGGUGCCAUUUGUGGGGGAUGUUCGGGCCGAUAAAAUGUCGAGGAGGGUUGAUUUGCCUGCCCCGCUUGGGCCAACAAUUGCAAGGAUUUGGGAUGGAUAGGCUGUGAGAGACACGUUCUUGAGGAUGUAAGUCGGUGGCUUUAAUGAGCAAACUUCGAAAAUGAAGGAUGGUAUAAUGCUGUUAUUAGAUUUGAUGUAUGAGAUUGAAGAACCCGUCAACUUGUAGGUUUUAAGCGGUGGCGGCGGAGGCGACGGUGCCGGCAAUGGUGGUGGUAAUUCUUCUUCCAUGAGACAAGAGGAAAGUUGAAGGGAUGAUAAUUGGAAAGAGUAGGAUGAACAGAUGUGUUGGGAAUAUAAAGUCUCCAUGAGGCUAUUGGCUAUUAGAGGACUGUAAUGGUCAUGGCCAAUUCUUAAUUCAAUAUUUUUUAAUUACCAUAUUGGAGCUGAUAGAGUUGAGCGUCUAGACAUACCAAAACAAACUGACAUUCAAAGGGUACAAAUGUAAGAGGACCUAUCAAACUACAUACGAAGUACAUUCUCUCGUGUCUUUUGUUAAUUGGUUAGAGCCAUGGGGCAUGUAGUUUUUUUUUUUUUUUUAAUGAAACAUGAGUGUAUCAUGUAGUUAAGAAGUUGUAAGUUUGCAAGUUUCGUACAACUUGUCUUGUUAGAUUCGAUCGCAUACAAAUUUUAACCAUUCAUUUAGUCCUCUAGUAAAAGACUCCCCCAACAUAAAUUUAGAUAUGGAUACGACGAGACUUUUUUUUUUUUUUUUGAUUACAUGAGACUAUUGCUCAAAUUACAACUCAUAUUACAUGAGAGUAUAAUUGAUAUGUACAAUCAUAUAUUUAUACUGAGCCCUAUUGAUAUGAAUAGGGAUGGCAAAAUCCGGGUCCGGGUCCGGGUUUAGCCUUUCCGGAUGUACAAUCAUAUAUUUAUACUGAACCCUAUUGAUAUGAAUGCUGAUAUGACACCGCUCAGAUUUUUAACCCUCUCAAAUAUUCGAGGGGUGUCAAACUCCCAUCUUUAUUAAUAUUAAAAUAAUAUUUUUUUUUUUUUAUUACAUGAGACUAUUGCUCAAAUUACAGUUCAAAUUACAAGUACAAUCAUAUAUUUAUACUGAACCCUAUUGAUAUGAAUGCUGAUAUGACACCGCUCAGAUUUUUAACCCUCUCAAAUAUUCGAGGGGUGUCAAACUCCCAUCUUGGGAGAAAGACUGUCUUCACUCGAGCUCAAGGGCUCCAAGGAAGAAUAUUUAAAUUAAACCCUUACAAUGCGACUGCGGAGGCUCGAACCCCUUCCCUCACAUUUGUGAGGGAGGGGCUCUAGCCACUUGGGCUAAGCCCAAGUGGUUAUACGACGAGACUUAAUUAGAUAACAAUAAGAAAUCAUUAACCCCAAUCCACUAUAAAAAUAAAAAGUAUUGCAUUAAGUCUCAAUACUUGAUUUAAGUCCGUAUUUUGUGAACAAUUUAAACCCCAUCCCACGUAUAUAAACUUACGGAGAAACUCUAAAAUAUUGUUACAGCAGGACAAUUAUUUCAUAAACGGUGUAUAUUUUAUUAUAUUUAUAAAUAAGUAAUUUGUUUAUUGGUAGUUGUAUGGUCAGACUCGACACAGUGGCCAAACUUGUGGACUAGGAACCAUGUGAGUAAGAGCAAAUAAGCAAUAGAUGACAAAAGAUAGGCUCCAAAGAAAUUCUCGCUUUGAAAUCGAAUCACGAGUUCACAGUUUCACCUCUCUCUCUCUCUCUCAUAUGACUCUGCAAAAUUUGGCGUCUGGCCAGCCUAUGCUAGAGGAUGAGCCUAAAUUUUAAGUAACUUGUUUUAGUCCGUGAAUUCUCCAUUGUCAUUCACAAGUGCUACUUUGCUGGCAUCACGCAUGAGAGUUAACAAUUCAAUGAUACUUGUGAAGAUAAAAUGGUUUUUUAAUAAUAAUAUGCCAGUUUUAUAUUCUAUUUCUUCCCCUAGCCGGCCAAUUUUUAAGGAGUGAAGAUAAAUGCUUUUAUUUGUAUACAACUAUCAAGAGUUUUCUACGAUUAUUGAAAGCCCGUAAAUCCCAUCCGCAUAGCUUGAGGCCCAUUGUAUCUCAGUGGUAACAGACCCAAAAAGUGGUUGUGACUGUAUCAUUACAAUUCACAAUCCACCUGCCAAAAUCCAAAGUUUAUCAGCCCAAUCCCCCUUUCAAACUCAUCAAUCCUUUUGGAAUACGUUGCCUUAAUAUUGUAAUUUCAGAAGAGCAGAAUGUACAUAUCACAAGUCACAACCUAAAAAUUUCUUAACUAAAAUUAGGAAUGAUAGAAUUCCUUUGUAUCAUUGAUGUACAAGGUGCUCGUCUCAUUUAGAUUGAGAUUCAAAUAUAUGCAGUAAAAUUUCACUGUAAUUAUAAUGUUGAGGCCCAAAAUAGUUUACUAUUAUAAGAAAGUUAUAACUUAAAAAAGAUGUAAUUGCAAAAUUAUAUUACUUUGAUUUAUUUACCCUCAGUGCAAGUGAUAUAAAAAGAAAAGAAUAUAAUAUAUUGAUAAUUAAUUAAUGAAGCAUGUAAAGACAAUGAUAAAGGAGAUAGAAAUAGUUUCAAAAAAUUAGUACAUAUAUUUAUAUAAUGCUAGGAUCAUGCAAAGUCAUCUUAGAAGUCUAAAGAAAAGAAUAAAUCAUUUUCUCAACUAAUUCUAGAAAAAAAAAUUUAUUCCAUCUUGAACUUUUAAGGUAAAAAAGCUUCUUCUUUUUUUGACAUAAUAACAAUAAUUAUUAUUGUGUGGUGACAAUUUCCUUAUGACACAAUCUAAAAUUAUUAUAUUUUAUUAUAAUGUGGAUAUUAUUCUUAUUUAUAAUUAAUCUAAAUUGUGACUAAAAUUUCAUAUUACCAUAUAGUAGUAUAAACAAGUUUUAUUGUAUUUGAGUAUUAAAAAAUUAAUUGAAUGAAUAUUGAAAUUUUCAAAAAAUUAAACAAGUUUUAUCGAAUAUUGAGUAUUAUACUGAUUUUGUCUUGAAUAAUAAAUCUAAACAAAAAUAUAUUCCAAUCAUGUUUCGAUAGAAAUCUUGAAUUUUUUGAGUGACGAAUUUUUUUUUAUCAUAUUAUAUCAUAAACUACAUGUCAUACGUAUAUAACAUAUCUGUCUUAUAUAAUGUUAUUAAAAUGACCUGUCAUAUAUAUAAUUUAUUAAACCAACAUUUUUUGAAAAUUUAGAUUUUUGAACAUUUGAGAUCUCAAUCAAAAUUUUUAAAAUUUUCAAAUCCCACCCCAAAAUAGUAUUCUCGAAUUUCAUUCCAAACGGACCGAAAUCUCGAAUUUUUCGAGAUAACUAGAAACUACCUAGAAAUUACAUCCCCUUAUUUUUAAAAAAAAAAAAAAAAAAAAAAGGUAAAAAAAAAAAAAAAAAAAAAAGGUCGAAAAGCGACCUGCCCACCAACUAAAACGAAAAGGGCAAGGCAUCUGAACUGUUCCGGAAAGUUCUCCCGAAUAAAUAACUUGUAAUAAAAUUACCAACUAAACUAAAAAUAAAUAAAUUUAAUGAGACCAUAUUCUGUAAUUAUUGACGACUUUUAACGAAGAAGCAACAUGAAACAGGAAGCAUAUAUGCCCAUAUUAACCCCACCAAAAAAGGAAAAAAAAAAGCAUAACUGGGGCCCCCAAUGUUUUUUUUUUCUAAUAAUUUCUGGAAAUCGCAAAUGGGCCCCAUACAGAGAUAGACUCUAGAAAUCAUCGCCGUCGUAACCAAGAUCAUCUUCGACCUUUUCCGCCGCUUCAUCAGCAAUGUGGUCUUCCAACGCGUCAACGCCCUCAGCCAAUGCCAGUCCACCCAGUAUCCCCCCUACAGCACCCACAGCCAAUCCCGUCCCCAUCCCGCCAAACUUACUCUUCUUUUUCUCCUCAACUUGACCGUAGUACCCUCCAGGUGGAGCAGCCCCGUACGCGCCGUAACUUGGCUGACCGUAAGCCCGGCAACCUUAACAUCGACUUUCCCGUGGGGCCUACCGGAUGGUCGCUUGAGCUUCAACGUGAGCGACGCGCGCUCGCCCAAUCCGACGUCGUUGAUGACAUCCUUCAGCUUGAGCUUAGCCGAGCCGAUCAGCUUCUUGGUGUCCUCCUCGUUGCCGGCGUGGACUACGUCGAUGAUGAGAGUGGUGUCGUCGUCGACGGGACCGGGCAGGGGGAUGGCGAGGGUCUCGUCCCAGUAAGGGCACGUGUCGCCCUCAUCGUCGACCUUGGUGGAGCAUUUCUUGUUUGGGUCGACCCAGAGGACGGCGUACGGCCUGUUGGGGCCGUGGCGCCAGUUGACGUUCUUGAGGUCCUUGGCGGAGGUGAUCGUCACUUCCACUUCGUAACGAGAAGCCAUCGGGAUUUUCUAGAAGAUAUAGAAAGACGGAAUGACUGUGUUGGAGGAAUAAUGUUAAGAGGCCGCGGGGUAUUUAUAUAACGUAAUAAAUGAAGCUUAGGGACUAAGAAUAGUGCCAUGUAUGGUAAUGUUGGUAUUGAUGGACGGGUGGCGGUUUCUUACUGGGGGAGGUGAGUUUUGAGAGCCAAUGGGAUGAAGGUUAGGCAGGCGUGCCUUGGGGAGUCAGCUUGGGGGAGGCGAGUUCAAGGGAAUGUGCAUCUGGCUUUUUCGUACGUAACGUCAUUGGGCAUUGGCGAGUGGGUCCAGCCACGCGGGACGCACACGGCAUUUGCAUUUUUUCGGCAUUUUUCAUGGCAGUGGGUGUGUGGUUUUCACCUUUCACCUUUUAGUUGGAUGGGGCUUAUCAAUAUGUAAAGCCCAUUGCACUUUUCAAAUUUCCUUUUGGGCUCCAUUCAAAAAAAUAUGAACAAAGAUAUCGUAGAAUUUUUUUAGAUUAUUAUGAGUAGUAAGAGUGACGUUUCAGUUUCCUUGGAGAAGAGUAACUAAAAAAAUAAAAAAAAACAUAUGAACAAAAAUAUUGUAGAAUUUCAUUAGAUUAUUAUGAGCAGUGAGAGUGAGGUGACGUGAUGGGCUCACGGCUAUGAACCGACUACAGAAUAUUAUAAACUCUUACUAAAGGCCCAAUUUUGCAUUAUUUGAGGCCCAGUUCUCGUUUGGCUUGCAGGCUCAUCGAAUUGACAACUCGUGUUAUGGCCAUCAUGAUCCAUUACUUGCGGCUUCCCCAUCGACUUUUGAAAUUAAGGGUCGUUUGGUAUAUUUUUUUUUUUUCAAUUGAUGUUUUUUAAACUCUUUUUAGAAAAGGAAAAUAAUGUUUUUGAUGUGAUAUCUUUAAAAAUAAAAAUAUGUUUGGUAGCUUAUUUUUAAUACAGCAUAUGACAAUGAAAACAACGAAAACAUGUUUAGUUGUUUGUCUUUCGAGACAGUGAAAGAGUGGAAAAAUUAUUUUAUUAAUUAAGAUUUUUUUAAUAAUGACAUUUUACUUUGUGAGUUUAUGCUAUAAUUAUCAAAAUUUGUGAUCCAUCAUAUGUGUAUUGGUAUUGUUCAUGUUGAUGUAUAUAUUUAUGUAUGUAUGUAUGUAUAUUUUUAAAAGACAUAAAAUUAAUAUAUUAUUAUCUUAUAAAUAUAUAGAUACAUACAUCGAUAUUUAUACGAAAGAGUGUAAGAUAGAAGAGUUAUAUUAUCUCAUGAUAAUUCUUAAACGUAACUUACCAUAAAAAAAUUAAAAUCAUUAAUUUAUUUUAAAACACAAAAUAAAAGUUAUGCUAAGUUACAUAAAAUCAAGUAAUUUACAUUAUUCAAGUUAAAAUAAUUUUUAUCUAGUAUGUAUCUAUUUAUUUUAGAGAAUCCAAAAUUAAUUAAUUUAGUGGCAUACAUUUUAUAUUAAUUUCGUCGUCGUAUGGAGGUAGUUUUCUUUUGCAUAAUAAAUGCAAUUUUGAUUAUCUAGAAUGAUAACUAAUAUAAAAGAAUCAAAGAAAAAAAAGGGUGUUCGAAAAAACUGUAGUCCUAUGAGAAGCCUUCGGUUUAUCACUUACAUUAAUAUAUUAUUAGAAAUAUAAAACUUAAAUAAAAUAUUAUAAAGCAUCAUUCAUUUGGUAAGUAACUUGAUAGCAUGUGUUGGACUAGUAGAAUAAUUCUAUCCCUUGUAGUGGGACUUGCGUAAAAUGAAUAUUGAAGAAUAGCAUAAAGUCUUUUCUUCUUUUCUUCACAAUUUCUCAUCGAAAAUCGUCGUAACAAUGCAGAAAUAAGGGCUGCCAAACAUAUUUUCUUAAUUUUUGUUUUUUUUUUAAACGAAAAACACUGAACAAAAAACGUUACCAAACAGGUCUUAAUCUUCCGAAGGAGUGACAAGACCCGACUAAACGCCCGGAAAGGCGGGAAAACAUAUGAGUCUAAAAAAUUGUCUUGUUUAAGUUGAAACCCAAUAUUUCAUGGUACACAUAUUACAUUGGUUUAAUGAUUUUAUAGUUCAAAAAAGUUCCAAAAGACAAAUUAAGUUAUUUUUCUUUUAUUCUAAAAAUAAACACCGCUAUUUAGAGUUAUUAUGCCUUGAUUAAGUUAUUUUUCUUCAAUAUUCUACGUAUUUGUAGAAUAUCCUAUAAACUUUUCUCUUGCAAGUACCAUGUCAAGAGAAGAGAUUUCAUGAGAAUAUUUAUUUAAUCUCUAAACGAUGAAGGAUUAGCCUCCUUUGGAUACAUCCAUACCCUUUUAUAUACAGUUGUUCAGCUAGUCGAAAUUGCCUCUUACGCUUCAGAUAAAAGUAAACACAAAUUAAAUAAACACUAUAAUAAUAACAAUAAUAAAACACAUAUACAAAUCCUUACCCUACAUAUCAACUCCUUCACUGAAAUUAUUUUUGUAUUUCUUAUAUAUAUCACAUUUAAAUUUGUACUCACAGUAUCAAUCAAUGUGCUUUUACGUAAAGCGCACGGUGCACAUAACACAGAAUCAUUAUUGCAUGCAUUUGCUCCCGAAAAUUAAUGUGAUGAUUAAAUUCAGAACACAACACCCACAUCUAGAUUCUUACACCAUAGCCUUGGGGUUUCACAAAUUCCCAGAACAAUAUAUUUAUAGCAAAAUUCAAAACAAUAAUCAAAUAAAAAGACGGAUCCAAUGAACACAAUAAACAAUCUUCAAUAUUGGAUCAUACUGUUUCCUAACCAAACACAUCCCCUUACCCCAACAAGAAAGCGAAAAUUGGGAAAACGAGCCCACAUGAUUCUUUAACCGUCUGUUCCCCAACCCAGUUGCUGCACUAAGACAAAAAUUAGGGACACAAGAUCUACUGAGGAAGCACAACAAAUCUAAAGUUCAUCGAACAAAAAUAUGGUGUCUGGCCUUUGUUUCUGUGUUGUCUGUUGUUGAUUUCUUGUAUUAUAUUUGUUGAAGUUACAUUUAUUUGACACUUGUAAUUCUUUCCAUUUUCAUCCGCAGUUUGUUCUUGCUGAUACAAUGAACCACUUUGUUCUUUCUUAAUGGAACGAAAUAAUCUUUCAUCCUCACGAGCAACAUUUUGUACGAAUGGAAAAGCAUUUAGAACAUGACACAUGAGUUUGACGUUAGAAAUAUUUUUUAGAUGGAAAAUUUCGUCUAAUGUUCUGCUAAUGCAUUGCCGUGUUUAUGACUUUAUACUUUUGCUUAAUUUUUAUUUUAGUUGUUACGAUUUAUAGAUAUAUACCAAUCUAGAAUCCGUUGAAAAUUUUAUUAAAUAUAUACACUCCGAGUAUAAUUUUGAAAUAUACGUUAAAUUGAAGGUGAGAUUUUUUAUCCGAACAUGUAGGGAGAUGUAUCUAUUUUUGGGAGAGACUACAAAAAUAGAUAAUGUUUAUAGCAAUUGCUAAGCUACUGCGGAUGUAACUUUAUGAAAACAAUAUUGAUAGAGCCACAACUAUAUUGUACAAAUAAGUGUGUACAAACUGACGUGGCAUGAGAAGAUUGGUUAUAUAAAAUCAUCAUGGUUUUACAAUAGAGUAAUGAUAUAGUCACAAAUUCUUGUACAAACUGAUGUGGCAUGAUAAGGUUGGUUGAAUUAAAUAUCACUUGGCCCACAUAAUUUUAUAUUUUCAUUUUGAAUUAAAUAUCACUUGGCCCACAUAAUUUAUUUUUAUUAUUUUAUAUUUUCAUUCAACCAAUGAAUUAAUGUCACGUCAUUUUGUACAAAAUAAAUUUAUACAAGAAUUUGUGUUUGUAUCAUUACUCUUUACAAUAAUUAAAAAAGUAAUUGUUAUCACUUUUCGGCCCUGUUUGGGAUUACUUUUGGGAGAGUUAAAAGUGAUUUUAAAAAUCUAAAAGUUAAUUUUAGUGUUUGGUAAAAAAAAACCAAAAUUACUUUUGCCAGAAUCAGCUCCUCCUACAGCUGAUUUUGAAAAGUAGAGAAUGAGUAACUUUUAGAUUCUGAUUUUGAGAAUCAAUUUUAUCAUUUAAUAUAAGUACAUAAAUAUCCUUACAAUUAUUACUUAAACCCGAAAUUAUCCUUAUUUAAAUUAGAAAUAAAAUUAAUAUUUUAAUAAUUUUUUAUUAUAAUUAACACACACCUUUCGUUUACCCUAUUUCUUCAUAUUUUGUGUUCUAUCAAAACUUCUCUAAUGCAACAAAGCAAGAUCCAGUACGUGUUCCAUCACCAUAUUCAAUAACAGUAAGUGAUUCAUCACCCUUUUCAUGCAUAUUCAAUGUAAUUUUUAUUAUAAUACAUGUACAUUUUUAUAUGUAUAAGUAAAUUUCAUCCUACAUUAUGUACAUUUUAGUCAUUUAUUUUCUUAUAGCAGUUUAACAAUAAGAUUUACCAAACACCCAUAAUUACUUUCAAAAUUCACAAUACUUUUGAAAAUAAAAUUUACCAAACACUUAACUGAUUCUCUUCACACCUGAUUAUUUGUACAGCACAACUAACAACAAUUAUUUUAAAAGCUGCAGUAUUACCAAACUCGCCCUUCAUCCAAUCUCUUCAUGCUGCAUAGUUUAUAUAUACUAAUUCGUACAAAACAGCUUGUGGCCUUAUCAUUAUUGUUAUGAAAAUAAUGCAAAAAAAUAAUAAUAAGUUAUGGGGCUGGCAUGUGUUUUAUUGAGGACUGUAACUUACAUAAGCAGUAACUUUGCAAGACCCCAUAUUUAUAUCAUUUACAAGGAACUCCAAAAUUAUGCCGUCUGCUCACUAGAUCAUCUGUCCCCUAGAUUUGCUUUUUCUUUUUUCCCCCCCUGAAAGUUCUCUGUAUUUAUUAAUUUAUUUGCAAUUUUACUGUUCGAAAUAGAGGGUAGUCUUGUUCCGGGGCAAUAAGGGGGACCAGGGCGUACAGUGGAGGCUUCACUGAGUGAGGUGGGAUUUGGCAUUUGCUGCCAAUGAAUAAAUACGAUGUUGCCUUGGAAAUUUUGCUUUGCUUGCUGAGUCUUCAAACUCAUUAAUGACUCCCAGCAGUCGUUUUCUCUUUUGAAAAUUUGAAACUUCAGAUUUUUCAAUCUCAAAUUUAUUAGUUUUCUUUCCUUCUUUUAUUGUCCUGUCCCCGACACCCCCUUAUCUCUCUAACACUGCAUAUAACUAAUCACUAUCAGUCUUUAUUGUAAUAAGAUAAAUUUUAUAUCUCUAGAAACAUCUUCAAGUCACACGUUUCUUAAUCUGAUGCGAGCGAUAUUAAUUUCAAACCAAAAUUCUGUUCUGGGUAUUUUAGAUAUGAAUUUAAUUGCAUGCUGAUUGCUGAUUUAUGAUACAUUAUUGUAUAUCAACCAGCAGUCGCAAUUGUAUAUUUUUGUGAACAAAAAGAAAAAAAAAUAGAUCAGGCUAUAAUUCAAAUCAAUAAAACUUAAUUACAGAAGCCUCAGGUUUUAUUAUUUGGGCUAAUUAAAAGUAUAAUAAUAACUGAGAGCGUUCAUGUGGUAAGGGAACUUUAUAGCAACUUCCAGGGUGUAACGGGGAGGCAAAUUGAAUAUUGAAAGUGGACGAUAAUAGGAUUGGUGGGCAGAGGGAGACUCAAAGACCAGAGAGAGCAUCUGCUUCUGUUUAUCUAUGACUGUGAAAGUGCUUUUUUAAUUCUUUUUUUCUCUCACUUUUGAAAUCAAAUUAAGACUUUAAACAAAAACUAACACAAUGCUUUCUUACCAUUCAAAAGUGCUUUUUCAAAAGCAAAAUGUUUGCCAGAAGAAUAGUGUUUUACUCUGAGAUCAUCAUAUGCUUGGUCAUUUACUUGCAGUCUUGAAGACUUGAACAAAAAGAAAAAGGUUUAAUUAAAGAAGCUUUGGCACAACUUUCACAGCUCUUUCUUAAAAAUAAAACCUGCUGGACUUUAGUAAGAAGCUCUCUUACUAGUUAGUUAAAUGUUAUUACAAGUAAUAACAAACCGAUCCUUGUAUUUUUCAUUUUUUGUCAGUUCUUUUUUCCUGCUCAUUUUGUAUCUAAAUAGGUCCCGUCCCAGUUCCCAGUUCCCAGUUCCAUCUCUUGAAAUGAACAAAUUAGCUUAUAAUAUUGAAAUCUUGACAAAUGCAUUGCAAGAGUAUGUAGACUGUCACCUAACUUAAAAGGGUUUUGCAACAACUUCAGAAUGAGUCAGGGAGCUAUAUAAUGCGAAUGAAAAAAAUUGUGUUCUGAAAAGAGAAAUCAUUAAAAGUUAGGGGCUUUUUGAUGUUAUUAACCAAUGUGUUUAUUAUCCACUUGAAAAAUGUGAUUGGAUCACUGAUCUCUUGAGUCUUUUUUUUUUUUAACUUUUUUCCCCCCUCCUCAAGAAAGACUAUUUAGUCUUCGCCUGGCGAAAAAGAGGUUUGGGGAACAACCACUCUACUUGGACAGAAAGGAAAAUUAGUUGGCUUUGGUUUUGAAGCCAAGGUAGCAAGUUUCUUUGAUGAAAUGAUGUGAUCAAUAGGCAAAAUGUUUUUUUUUUUUUUUCUUUCCUGAGAAAAAGCCAAUUUUAGCCCUCUCAGUCACAGACCAAGACCGAACCCAAAACCCUUCGAGAAAGUGAAUGGAAAGAGAAAAUAGAUUGCAAUCCUGUGAAGUCAUUUCAUUUCAGUUUCAGAAUCUGAAAUGAUAUCACACAUCUGAUAUGAUGAUCCGAACGGCUAGCUCGUACCCUUUCAAAGGUGACAUCAUUAUGAAUUGCGGAACUCAAUUUAGAAUAGUUAAAAGAAGAACCAAAGAUCCCGUAUCAGAAUUCCUUUCAAAUUUUUCAUAAUGACCCAUCAUCAAUAUACACAAGACAAUAACAAGUAACAACAACAGCAGCGACAAACAAGUGAUUCUAUUUCACUCAAUAUAUAGCCAUCAUCAUAACCAACCAAACGUGACCAGUAACAACAACACAACAACCCUACGCUAGCUUUUCUCUGUUUUCUUUUACAACAACAAAUUACGAAGCUGUCCUGUGCAACAAUGUUCCUUUUCCUGUCUAUAGAUUUCAAUUUCAUUGACAAACAGUUUCUUCUAUUUUUAUUUUCCCGCUUAAAUUCUUUCUUCAUUGGAUUUUCUUGCUGAUAUGAACUCUGAAGAUGAUGAAUCGCUGCUGAAUCUUGAAAACAGAGAUGAAUCUGGAAACAAAUGAAAGACAAAUGUCAACCUUGUUGAGCUAAACUACGAUAACAAAUAUAUUCAAAAUUUCGAGGCUAAUCUAUAUGCAGAAACAUGUAUAUAUACCUCUAGAAAACAAACUGCUGAAAGUCUCUUGCGAAGAACAACUUGUAGAUCUUGAUAAUGAAGAAGAAUCUGAUACAAAAAAUACAGAAAAUUGAAUCAAGACAAUUCAAGUUAACAACCCAAUUAACAAAAAAAUAAAUUAACUUGGUUAAACAUGCAACGAUUUAAUAAAAGAAAAGGAUUUGCUACCUCUAGAGUUGAAAGAGUUUUUGCAAUGAAGAAUGGCGCUUUGAAUCCCAUCAUGCUGAAGAAGCAACGAAUCAUCUCUUCUAGCCGGCGACAUAACUGCAGCAGCCGAAACCGAUUUGCUCUUGCUCAGAUGCUUAAACCCCGCCGGAAUAUUCCCUUUCUUCUCUUUCUUCGCCGGAGAUGCUGUCGGAGAAGAGGAAGAAGCCUCCGUUAGCUCCUCAGGAAACCCCGUCUUGCCAUUCUUCUUGGAAACUCUGACAUACAAUGGCUUGAUCAGCUUCAAGUAUUUCUGUAUCACAUCCUUUGAAAAUCUCUUUGAUGAUGAUGAUGAGGAGGAGGAGGAUGAGUCAGUAUGGAUGCUUUCUUUGUGUUUUGUUUUUCUCAGACUUGAAGCUCUAGUGAACAUUGAAAGAUUUGAAGCAUCUUCAACUCUGAACUUGAUUGUGAAGAGCUUGUUCUGUUUUCUUGUUGACUCUGUUUUCUCCAUUACCCCCGUUUUCUCUGUUUUGAGUGUUGCCAUAGAUUUGGGUUUCUUGAAUAUAGCCACCCGAAGCUUUGGAGCAGAUUUAAGCAGGGAGAUUGGAGACUGGGCUUUUAAACUUGAGCUUGAGCUGGGCUCGAUUGGCAAGAUCUUUCUUUUGGACAAGACAUCGGUGGGAGACAAAGAGGAAAGCGUCGCGGUCACUGUCUGUUGUUGGCUCUCUUUGCUGUUGGUGUUCUUUUUGUUGUCGCAAUCAGAAACAGUGAGCUCCAACUCAAAGAAUGAGUCAUCCCCUUCAUCCAACUCGCUCUCCGAACAAACCACAAGACUGGGAGCAGCUUCAACUUCCAUGGCGGUGGCGGCGGCGGUGGUGGUGUCAUUAUCUUCAUUAAGGGCUUGAUUUUCUUUCAUGGUGGGUCUCCAAAACUUGAGAAAGCUGAGAGUUUCCAUUGCGUCUGUUGAAGCUCGAAAGAGAGAAAAAGAGAGACUAAAUAGAAAUGGCUUCGGUUUCUUUUCCGGAAUAUUUUGGUGGGCUUUUAUAUUUGGUUUGAGAGAAAGAGAAAGAAAAAGAGUGAGGUUUUUGAGAAAUUUAAAGGGACAAAAAAGAAAGAAAGUACUUUUGCACUGCGUUUUAUGGUUGCGUAUUGCAGAACUGAAAAUGGUGUUUUCCAGGGGCUGCCGAGAGCCUGAUGAUGAAAUAUAAGCAGCUUUCUUUUUCUUAGGGAGCAAAUAUCAUUGGUAUCCCUCAAACUUUUUAUAAUAGCAAUUUGAACUCCACUGGAAUUUAGUGUUAUACAAAUAAUCCCUCCAACUUUUUGCACUGCGUUUUUUUGGCACUAACAAUGAGGACUAAAAGUUCAUAUUUUUGAAUUAAUGGAACUGGAACUGUUAUUAUGAAAGAGUAGGGGGUGUUGUUGUUUAGAUACUAAAAAGUAAAAAAGUAAUACGCCUGAUUAAAUUUGUACCCAGAGUUUGUUUUGUACGUUUGGUUUAGUCGUUGUAGUUUAGUUGGUCACAGACUGAACACGUGAAUAUCAAUGCAUUACACAUUUUUUACUUUUUUUUCUUUUUAUUUUUUUGAUUUGUGAGAGAGAGAGAGAGAGAGAGAGAGUCAGAUCAGAAUUCAAAGAAGAAAUAGGAGGAGAGGAGUGUGGCGUAUAGUCUAUAAAGCUGAGUCUCUCACUUAGACUACGUAUCCACACCCACCUUACGGAACGGAAGCCAGAGGGGGGCAGAGCUCUUCCUUCAGUCUUGUCUCAAUUGUGUAUUAUUAGACCCACGCGCACUUGUUUCUAUUUCUUUCAACACAUUUACGACCUUCAUUAUUAUUUUUUCUCAUCCUCCCAAUUAAAAAAAAUAAGAAACGCUCCCGAGGACGACAUUGUUCGCAUUAUAUUGAGUGAUAAUAUCAGCGAAUGACAUUAUUUCUGUUAUAUUGAGUGAUAUUGUCAAUUACUCAAUCACUUUGGUAUGGCGGUAGAUCGAGUUUGGUGAGUAUUGUUAUUCUUGAGAUCAACUUAAAAAAUAAAAAUAUGAAUACAAGUAAGAUAUUAAAAAUUUAAGUUAUCUAUAAUUAUAUGAGGUGGGAACGACUAAAGAUUGUCAUCUAUGAGUCUGAUUUAAAAAUAAUCUCAUCCUGAUUGAUUUUAAGGAUAAAAAUAAACCGUUCCUAUCUUCGAACUAGUCAUUGUCUUAUUAAUUGAUCUUUUGUUAACAAUUUACUGAAUUUGCUUAAUAAAUUAAUGGAACACGUCGCGAAAUGGAAGACAAAGUGAAGUACUUCUAAGUUCUAAAUAUUUUUAAGAGUUAAACAUAAGGAUUAAUGAGAACAUAAUGUGAGACACGUUAUGGAAUAUGAAAAUGCGAAUAUGAAAAUGCCAAAGUUUUCAUUUAACAAAGUUAUCGUCAAUUAUAUUGUUAUAUUAUUUUAUCUUUGAGUUCCCAUAGUCAUUGCACUAAUCAUUUAUAGACAAAAACCGAUUUUGACUUUUGUAGUGCAACGAUCAACAAUGUAACAAGUUAAGCAAACUCAUUAGGUCCUCUUUACUGUCUGCCAAAGAUGUCCAAACCAAAAUUAGAAUUUAGAAAGGAAAAAAAAAACAGAAUUGAGAAUCAAUUUAUUUUUUGGGAGCGCGUGAGAGGUGAGUUUUGGAAUCUAAAAUGAUAUCAAGUUAUGAAGUAUUUUUGGUGUAAAUGCAAAAGCCAUGAGAGGAGAGUGAUGAGAAACUUCCAAAAAGAGGUGAAAAAAAGAAAAACAAAAGAGAAAAAGGCCAAAAAGAAAAAGACUCAAAAAAAAAAGAAAAAGAGAGAGAGAGAGAGAGAGGAGACGCAAGGUAAGGUAAGGUCAUGUUAAUAAUAAUAAUAGAAACAGAGGGCACUUUUACUUUAUGGGCACAGUCUUAAAAAGAUCUGCUUAGCUCAGAAUAAAUUGGUUCUCUAACAAAGGCAAGAAAUUGGGGCAAUUGGCUUCACGCAUGACCCUAUGAGCUAUGAACCCUACUUUUUAAGGGCUUUAACUUCUUUAAAUUCUAGUAAAGAAGGACCGAGUCUCCCAUGCUGUUAAAAGGUUUGACUUGUAGCUGUGACUUGUGGAGUGAUUUUUUAUUUUUAUUUUAAAUUUUAAAUUUUUUUUUGUUUGUUGCCCCCUUUUGUUUCUUUUUCAAAAUGGUCCAAUUUUUGGGUAAGGGAAAGAAAGAUAAAUAGAAAGAUUCUAGCCCCGUUGCAUCAAAGGGCUAAGGUAGAAAAAAGAUUUUAAAAAAGGAGAUUCUUGUGGCUAUAUUUGAGUUUUAAUAAGAAAGAGGAAAAUUGGAUAGUGAUGAGUGAUGUUGAUAAUAAUUCUGGUUGUUGGUGGUUUUAGUUUUAAGAGAGAUUUAAAUAAAGUGGGCAUACAAAUUAUUUUUUGCGCCCACCCACGUAUAUAUACAUUUAUGUUAAAAGGGACCAAUGAUUGUGCAAUUAAAAUGUGUGAUUUCUAUUGAAUGUAUCUCGUCAAAAUUUCAAACGCAAGAUUUUAUUAUUUUAGUCACUUGUUUUGAUUUGGAGAAAACUACCAAGACCCCUUAUUUUUUUCCAAAAUUUGUACUAUCCACCCCAACUGUUUCAAAACAUACCAAAAACACCUGUGUCAAGGGGGAUUUUGGUAAGUGCUGAAACAAUAGAGUGAGAAGACAAAUUUUGAAGGAAUACAUAUAAAGGGGCUUGCUAGUUUUUCCUUUUGGUUUAUCUAUUGAAUCUUGAUAUGUGUAUGAUUCUAAAUUUCAUCAAGGCUUGUGCAAGCCAUGUAAAUAUGUAAUGAUGAUUUCACUUUGAUUUCAACGAAAUCUAAUUGGUCUCUUUCUUUUUUGUUUGCUUUUUCAAGAAUUAUUGUGAGAAUAAUCCAAAUGUCAUGCAAUUUUCUCUCUAGUUUUUCAUGUUUAUGGUGUGCACGUCGUUAAUCUUUAUGUAUUAUGCGCUCGUUCCUUCGCUUUUGUAUGAAUUUUUAGAUUAAUUAAUAGAAUUGAACCUAAAGAAAAAAAGAAAAAAGAAAACCAAGAAACUUGAACUGACCCAUCCAAUAAUAUAUAACGAUAUUCACAAUGAUGAUGUAUAUUACCGACAUUUAUUUUUGCACCUAUUGAAACUUUUCUAUUUAGACCGGCAACUUUGCAACAUCUUAUCUUAUUCUUAUCCCUCGACUUUGGAAUUAGAUACCAAUUUAAUUAAAGAACAAUUUUCUACUUUUCAUUUUUUUAAAUCAUGGAAGAAUGAUAAUUUUGUUCUUAUUUUUAUUUAUUGCUGUAUUUUUUCCCCUAAAAUCUUCACCCUUACAUUUAUUUCAUGCCACGUUAAUGUAUAUGAAUGGGUUAUAUAAAUAAUAUGUGUAUAUAAAUAAUAAAUGUAUGCAAUAUUUUUUUCCCCUAAAAAAUGAAUAAAACUCGUUGAUCAACUUAAAUUGAUACAAUUUGAAUUUAAAAAGAUACCAAUAUGACUUUGAAUUUAUAUACACAUAUAUUUACACGAAUGACACAAGUCUUAUACUUAAUAAUUUUUCAAUCAGAAAUUCUUGGUCAUUUUAAAAUAAAGGAUAACCUAAAGAAUGAAGAACCACAAACUUCGUAUUAUAUUAUAGUGUAUUGAAACCUAUAUACACUUUUUUUUAAAAAAAUCUAUAUACUUUAUCCUAACUUUAACACUUUUUAAUAUUGCUUGGGACCGUGGCAUUCAUUAUUUAAUUGCAGAGGUGGAUAGCCAAUGUGUUUCCCAACUGAUUUCCUCUACUAACUUGAUGCCUAAUGCACAUUUUUCUCUCAUAACUGUCAUAAAGGAACUGAUGAAUAGACAAUAACUCAUUAUCAUAAAGCAUAUAUAUCGGGAAGCUAAUUUUACUGCAGAUUUCAUGGCGAAACUUGCUGGUUCCUUACCCCUUGAACUUCAUGUCUUUGAAAAUCUCCCGGGGAUCUUAGUUAUUGGUUAUGUAAUGAUAUAUAUGGGACCUUUAUUCUCCGUUCUGUUUUAGCCUAGUUUUACUAGGCUCCAACGUAUAUAAAAAAAAAAAUUCCAUGAUUGAAAACUCAAUCAUCUUAUACUUAUAGUCUCCAUCAAGCUCAGUUUCCAAUCAAAAUAGUCUGCUAUAUAGACCAUUUACAUUUCUCUUCGAAUAGUGAAUUGUCACAAACACGUUAGGUGACUUUUGGCGUCUUUAUAGAAAUUCAUAAAUUGUUGGCUGGUCAAAUUAUUCAUCAAAAUAAUUUUUGUGAAUGUGGGGCUUCUAUGUUUGUACGAAUUGAUACACUCACUGGUUAAUUAAUUAUUAAACAAAUUUUAUCGUGUUAGCAACUAUUUGCUAAUCAAUGCGAACUUGCUAUUUCGUGAAAGAGAUGUCAAUCAAUGUUGCAUUGUGGCUACUUUAAUUUGUUAAAGAAACUUAACUUCAUCUUUUGCUUUUUGUUCCGCACGUUUGUAAAAAUCCUAUGAAGAAUUCAAAGUUUUAAGUGACUAACUUUAUUGAAAGGUAAAAUUAUCCCCAUAAUUGAACAUAAUUGAAUAUAGUAACGUCGACUAUUUUAUUUUAAAUCUUCGUCUUCUUCUUCCCAUCUCUCUUAUUAUUAUUAUUAUUAUUAUUUUAAUUAUAUCACAAAUUUACUAAUAUCUAUAAGGACUACUUGAGAGCAAUUCUAUAACACCACCAGGCACCAAGAACAAUCCACAGCUUACUUUUUGAAUGGGCGGUGGCCUGUAAGCCUUGCCAUUGAACAUUUGAAUAACAAGUGGGACAUGCAUGCAUCAUUAAUGCCAUAGGUGAUACGUGGGCUGUAGUUUAUUUACAGAAUUGGGUGUAAUCAGAAUACUGGAGUUGUACUUUUGGCAGAACCAUUGCGUCCCAUAUUUCUCAACACACCUAUAUUUAUGCUGUAAAGGAGUUGUAGCGGGCCGGGUGCAAUCAGAAAAUUAGUGAGGUGCUUUUGGUACCACGCCUGCAUACCCAAGCUAGUUGGCCCAUUAUGGAAUGCGUGAUAACGCCCAGAUUGAAAAGGAAUUUGAAAAAAGGGGUAGCUAAUUUAAAUAUAUUAAAAAACAAAUGAAUAAGUUCCAGAAAAUUUUACUAUCAAUGCAAAUUGUAUUUAUUUAAUUUAAAUUUGUGUCCGCUCAAACACCUCUAAAACAGAAAACAGAAACAAGGAUUCCAAUGGGUGAUAAUAAACUACAACACCAACUCCCACAGAACAUUGGUUUCUCAAAAACUUGAACAAUUCUUGUCUCUAAUCCUUCUUCUUCAAUGCACCUUUGGGAAUUCGACUCAAAACCUUCUUCAAAACCUUUUCAUCAAAGACUGCAUAUUGCUUCUUGAUCUCAAUCGUUGCCUUCUCACCAAAUGAAUCAAUCUUGUCCUCGUACUUCUCAUAAAUCACGGGCACGGUGUGUAGCAAAACAAAUACUGUUUCAAAAGAACCAUACAAAAGAUCCAAACACUUCAGCAAGAAUACAAUCCAUUUAAGAAAAUAAGCCAUUAAAACUAACGAAUGUUUCUUACCAAUGUAGAAUAAUGUCACGAAGUUGCACCAAUUACCGACAAUAGACAAAAGCCACAAGCCAGCAAUGACCUAAGCGAAAAAAGGGCAGUAGCAUGUCAAUGGCAUGAGAACAACAGCUGCAAUAACUUAAUAACGGAUGCAAAUGGCAUCAAUUCACUAAUAAUUAUGGACUGUGAGGUUUAACAAAAAAGUUUUAUCAAAAAGCUUUAUCCACAAGUAUGUUUUUGUCACAGAGUGAGUCCAAAUAAAAGAUGCUUGAUGAAACAAAUAAAGGCAUUGCACUGCCAAGGAAUGCACAAAGAAUAAAGCAGAAAGAAGGAACAUACACCAAGAAACUUCUUCAAGUCCCUUCCAGACGCAAUUUCCCGCAGGACAGCCAAGGCUCGGUUGAUUUCAUACCUCAAGGCAGAGGCGAAUUCAAGGACAAACUUCUCAGGAAGUGUAACAACUGGAAUCUCUGGCGGUGAUCUGGUAGAAGGACAGUAAAAUGAAGACUAUAAAGAAUUUGCAUUGGGGAUUAACUUAUAGAAGGAAUAUCCAACUCCAUACUUGUUGAUAAAUGUGGAUGCAUUGGACCACAGGAAGAGAACAGCCAGAGAGAGAAUCGAUAUAUGGCAGACCAAAGUGAUUAAAUGGUAUUCCAGCAACUCAAAGAGAACCCACAUUGCAGUGGCUCCACCUAGCACACCAGCAGAGAUUUUCUUGUUCCUCCAUAGGAAAAUAUCAGCAGCUGAGAAAAAGAUAUACAUAAGACUAAGAAAAAAGCUUACAAAAUAUAAUCCAUACGCUGCUACCUGCACUAGUGUGUGCAUCUACAAAAGAGUGAGAAGAGAGUUACAUGAUCCCUGCACAUCCUUUAAGCUUAAAUAAAGCACCAAUCAAUUAAAAGUCACCCAGCUGAUUCUCGAGAUUGGGUUCCAAUAUAUGAACUCCAUAUGCUAUUCGAAAAUUUACAAUGGCAUUAUUCUCAUUAUAUAAAACCACAUGCUAAUGAGCUUCCUCAAAAGUAUCAUAUUCAGUAAAAUCACCAAAAUGUAAGUGCACUUAACAAAUAUCCGUAAAUCCCUAAAAUGCAAUAACACUGCAAUCAUAAACUAAUCCCAUACUAAAUGUCCACAAAUAUAUAUAUAUAUAUAUUUAAAAAAAGCCUAGCUUUACCUUUUUUUUUUUUUUUUCUCUUCAUCAAUAUUUAAAAUCGUAUAAAAAAUUGGAAAAAAUAGUUCAUUUUUUUUAAGCUCCUGUGAAGUUAAUCUCAGCUAACUAACCAACAAAAAAAAUAAAGCAACCUCAGAUCGUGCAUUUUACUGAAAUAAACAAUUAACGAGAGGAAAAAGAGGGUACGUUUUCCAGCUCCGAGGACAUGGUGAAUAGGUUUUUCUCUUCCGAAGAGCCUGAAUACUUUGGACUUAAAGGCGUCAAUAGACGACGGCUUGUCGUCAUCGGAGUCAGAUGACGAGGAGUCGUGGCCAUGGAUCUUAUCCGUGAUCUUCUCCACCAGUGAUUUGUCGGCUGAUUCGUGCUCAGGUGCAUGUUCCGCCAUAGAUCUCUGCCGCCGAGUAAGCGCCGAUGAAAAUGAAUUGAAAAAUGUACUAGACUCUAGAACGAGAGAGAGCGAGACUCGGUGGGAACAAGGAGCAAAGAAAGCGUUUCGGCUUCUUUUUGAGCGUGACUAUUUUUACAGGAAAACCAGGUGAUGAAAUCUCGGCCGUUCAAAUUUUUUUAUUUAGUACGAAUCUCAGGUUCGGAUACGAGGCUCGCAAGUUUGGUAUAAAUCGGAAAACGAGGGACGGCCACGUGUUACUUGGAAAAGAUUACGAGCGAAUCUAGGGUUACGGUUUUGUGAUGGCUGUGACUGCUGCCACUCAUAAAUCGUUUUUCUCUUUAUGAUUUACCAAAAAAAAAAAAAAAAAAAACUCGCUAGCUAGUUGCUAUUAAAGUAUAAUAAUGGAUUAUAACUUUUCAAAAAAAAAAAAAAAGACUAUAAGAAAAUAAAUUAGAGUUUUGAAUAAUAAAAUUGUCUGAAAAGAUUCAAGUAAAAAUUAUUUUUUUUACUUGAAUUUAUGAAAUUAGCUAUUGUAUCUAGUAAAUAUUUUUUAAAAUUAUCAAAUAUAUAAUUUAUUUAGAAUAGUUAUGAUAACUAGUAAUAUUAGAUAAUUGUAAUUUAAAUUUAAUAUCAUUUCCUAAAAAUAUAAAAUAAUUAAUUUAUCAUACUCUUUUUUUAAUUUAAUUUUGUUUCCUGAAAAUUAAAACAGCUAGUUCAUUAUGUUAUCUUUUAUUUUAUGUUCACUUUAUUUCCUCAAAAUUAUAUAAAUGGCUAAUUUAUGAGGACGCUAAAACAUGAUCGCUAUCGUCAAAAUUCAAAAUUUUAAAACCAACGGUGAUAAAGUUGGCUGUGAUGGACGCGGCUGUUUCUAUAGAACAGCCCGGUGAUAAAUUCUUCGUCCCGCGACUCGAGGCUAAAUAGACGUUAACUUAACGAGCAACACCUCCCCUUCGCUUUGAUAAGGACUUUAGGGUGACGCCGUUCGCACGCGGUAUAUUCUACGCGGACCCUACAAGUUGCCGUCUAUUUGAUUCCCGCGGUCUAGGUGCUUACGUGGCGUCUCAUGAUUGGAUAUGCUCAAUGUGAGGAGAAAAAAUGAGCAAUCGUAGUCAGGCGACACGUGUCUCUAAAAAUUAAAGAAGAAGGUGAUUUGGUUGGUGCGGCCGAUGAGCAAGUAACGACCAACUUCAAACUUCGAUUGCAUCGUCCCCAAAAGAGAAAAAUCAAUUGGAAAAUUGAAGUUCUGAAUGUCGUAAGUAAUUGAUUUAUGUUGAAUAUAUUUUAACGUAUGAAUAUGAUCAACAAUAGCACUAGAUUUUUAUGCAUGACUCAUUUUGAAGUUUUUACGGCUUAUAUAUUUACCAUAAUUUAGAGUCCAAUCUAUUUCACAAUCUAGCUAGAAACAUAUAUUUAUAAUAAAAUUUUAAGAAACAUAACGAUAAGUUAAAUAAAUAGAAUUAAUAAACACAAUAAUAUAACAUAUAUAGCAAUAAUAAAAUACAAAUAGAGAGAUCCGCAUUUUCUGACAAAUUAAUACAUAACAAAUAAAUAGAGUGCAGCACAAAAACGAGGAUCCCUUCCCACAACUUGCUGAAAACGUGCAUGGCACUGAGAUUCAACAAGGUGUUGUCUAGUGGGAUUUAAAAACUGAAUCAUUUUCUAAAUGACUCUGCCAACUCGGCUACGACAGCAAGUGAACGUCCACCUUCACUCAAAGCCCCCACGGCUUGUUCUUUCGGUGCCCUAAUACCUUCGAUCACUCUCCCUUUUCCAUUCUUUGCGUCCAUCAACUCAGUCAGUGCUCCCUAACUCGCCUGCAGUCACCAAUCCACCAAUCCACCAACCCAUCUCCUAACUCUCGGCCACCGUUAGAGGAUCUCUGAUCUUUUCCACCAAAAAGGCCAUAUUAACCAUUUGAUCCCCGUUUGAAGGCCAAGCUACCAUAGGAACCCCGGUACGCACAGCUUCAAGCACCAAGUUCCACCGUCAGUGAGCCGUAAACCGACCACCGAGUCAUGACUUAGUACAUCCACUUGAGGAGCCCAUGAUUUCACCGGCAACCCCCAAUCUCUCGUUCUCUCCACAAACCCUUCUGGCAAAAACAGUUCCGCACUAGCCUCAGCAUCCGCCACCGUCAAAGUCUGACGAAACUCAUCCUCCAGAGGAGGAAAAAGCACCACCCACAAGAACGCAGCGCCGCUCCUCUUUAACCGCAUAGCCAUUUCUUUCAACAGCUUGGUACUAAAGAAUCCCAUGCACCGAAACACAAAAACACAAUGCAAUGACUUGGUUGUUUGUCAAGCCAACUGAAGCACGUAUGGUCAUCAUUUUUGUUAUCACUACUAGUCGCGGCUAGAAUUGCGCCUGUACAAUAUAGAGGCGGCAUUUGCUCUCCGUAUGGCACGUACUUGCCAUCUUUCAAAGCUCUAAGAGCUCUUGUUUCGAGUGUUUCCAAAUCUGUUUAUUAUGAUUCCUGACGAUUUUGUCAUUUCUAUUGCAGCGUCAAUCACGUUCUUGUAUGCUAGCUUUCCUUUGCUCUAAUGGGUGGCAAGACAGGGAUAUCAAGAACCAUUUGAGGAUCUUUCAAGCCAUUUGUGGUUCCAUAAGUAUUGGGAAGAUACAGAACUUGGGCUAGCGCAGAUGCGCUGCUGGCGUAGAAUAAGUAAGUGGGGAUAUUUAGACUGCAAGAUACUUGCAAAGCGACUUUGUGAAAGAAGUCGAUGAUUAAGGUCUUGAGGUUAGAUGUUUUUGAUUGGAUUAUUAGGGUUUUGUGGAGAUUAGGGCUAUUGAGUAGGGCUAGUUGACCACGUAAUCUUGGGACUUUCAGCAACGGAUGGGUGGUGAGUAAUGUCAAGCUGAUCGGAUAUUACUGUGGGAGGUGGUAGAAGGUGGUGGCGGCAGAGACAGCGGAGAUGUAAUUAGAGAUGUCGCCAGCAAUAGACGUUGGAAAGGUGGAGAUUAUGAUGGUGACGGAGAAAUAAGGGUAAUGGGUGAGUAUUAAUUUGCCUAAUUCAUCCAUGGAGAGUAAGUGGCUACUUCCUGGAGAAGGAUUAAAGAACAAUCGUAUUAUUAUCCUCCGUAGCCAUUACUUAUUAGCAAUUUACAGAAUAAGUAAAUUGUAAACAAUGAACUAAAUGAUGAUGAGACAUCAUAUCAUAAUCUCUUUUAUGUCUUAAUAAACAAAUAAUUUAUUAAUUUAUCGCAAAUUUAAGAAGAAUGUUAUAUUCUAAUUAUUACUUGUGCCAUCUUGAUGUGUGUACUAUUCCUUUGACCACGAUUCACUCAUAAAUUUCAAAAGUUAUCAUGUAUAUACAAAAAAUAUUAAUAAAUUUUAGAACAUCUAUAUAGGAGACAAAAAUUUAUGUAAGUGUACUGUAUAUAGACAUAUAAAAAAUUGAUGUAUUUACUUUUCAAAAUUUAAUACCCUAGAAGAUAAAGUAUUUCAAAUGGUUAAAGCUUAAAGAACAUAAACUCUUUAAGUACAUCAGUCAUUAGUUUAAUUUUUAAUCUCAAAUCAUUACAUGCAUAUUUAGAAAAUAGUUGAAUUGAGAAAAUUGAAGUUGUCAAUAAACAAAAAUUCUUAAUUUUAAGAAUUUUAUAUGCUAUUUAUUAUUGCUAUAUUUUCUAUUCGACAAAUUAUUAAUUUAUAUUUUCUUUGGGCUCUAAAGGAUUCAAAAAAAUUAUUAUUUUAUGUAUUUAACGAAAUUAUUAAUUUAGUAAAUAGGGCCAAUUUGGAUCGGAAGAUUUUAUUAUUUAAUUUAAUUUAUUAAUUUAUUAAUUUAUUAACACUAAUUUAUUGAGGUUUUACGAUAUAACUGGUUAUAUAUUUUAUGAUCAAUCAUUUUAUAAUGUUUUAUUUAUAAAGAAUUGUAUGAAAUCCAUGUUUAUAUCACAUCAAUGAGGAUAUAAAAAUUUGGUAUUCCAUACUCUGUGGAGAUGUCGUGAGUGUAACUACAACAAUCUUUUAAUAUAAGUAGGAGAAAUUUUAAAAUACAUUAUAGGUACUACACUCAAUUUAUGCAUGUAUAAUAUUUAUAAUUUAAUUAAAUAUAACUAUAAAUUACUAAAUAAUUUUUCAAAAUAAAUACACAAACACAAAGUAUAUGUGCAUUGCAUUAAUUGAGUGUAUUAUCUCUUUAUAUCUUCUUGAAUGUCUAGACGCUGAAUUAAAACUCGUAGUCGUCCGUACUCCAUUCCUUAUCGAAACGAGCGGCCAACUCAGCUAGGGCAGCAAGUGAACACCCACCUUCUCUCAAAGCCCCCAUAGCUUUCUCUUUCAAUGCCCUAGUCCGUUCACGAAGCACUUUCCCUUUCCCAUUCUCUGAGUCCAUCAACUCAAUCACUCGUUUCUCUAACUCAGCUCCAUACACCAACCCGUCUUCAGACUCGACAACCGGCACAGCCACCUCAAUGUCCUCCACCAAAAACGAUCUAUUCACCAUUUGAUCCCCAAUAAAAGGCCAAGCCACCAUAGGCACCCCAGCACACAAUGCUUCAAUCACAGAGUUCCACCCGCAGUGAGUGACAAACCCACCCACCGAGUCAUGACUUAGUACAUCCGUUUGCGGAGCCCAUGAUUUCACCACCAACCCCCUAUCUCUCGUUCUCUCCAAAAAAUCUUCAGGCAAAAACAUUUCCACACUCACCUCAGCAUCCGCCACCGCCAAAUUCCGACGAAACUCGUCCUCCGGCGGGGGAACAAGCACCACCCACAAGAACCUAACCCGGCUCCUCUCUAGCCCGAUGGCCAUUUCUUUCAAC
rnacentral:lncRNA from 1 species